rnacentral:SRP_RNA from 1 species
CCGUGCUAAGCGGGGAGGUAGCGGUGCCCUGUACUCGCAAUCCGCUCUAGCGAGGCCUAAUCCCUUCUAGAGGUUAGUGUACUGUAGGGCUGCCUCAAGUAAGUGGUGUUGACGCCUGGGUCCUGCGCAAUGGGAAUCCACGAACCAUGUCAGGUCCGGAAGGAAGCAGCAUUAAGUGGAAGCUCCCAUGUGCCGCAGGGUUGCCUGGGC